CAGCCGUAAACAAUGUGCGUUAGGUGUGUCGGUAACCACGCGUUACUGAUGCGCCGAAGAGAAAUCGUGAAACGCACCACCUGGGAAGUACGGUCGCAAGGCUGAAACUUAAAGGAAUUGGCGGGGGAGCACCACAACAGGUGGAGCCUGCGGUUUAAUUGGACUCAACGCCGGAAAUCUUACCGGGACCGACAGCAACAUGAAGGCCAAGCUGAAGACUUUGCCGGAUUAGCUGAGAGGUGGUGCAUGGCGUAGUCGUGU
rnacentral:rRNA from 1 species